rnacentral:rRNA from 1 species
GAUGAACGCUGGCGGCGUGCUUAACACAUGCAAGUCGAACGAGAAGUGGAGACGGAAACCUUCGGGCGGAAGACUUUACUUCGAGUGGCGGACGGGUGAGUAACGCGUGGGUAACCUGCCUCAUACAGGGGGAUAACAGUUGGAAACGACUGUUAAUACCGCAUAAGACCACAGCACCGCAUGGUGCGGGGGUAAAAACUCCGGUGGUAUGAGUUGGACCCGCGUUCGAUUAGCCAGUUGGCGGGGUAACGGCCCACCAAAGCGACGAUCGAUAGCCGAUCUGAGAGGAUGACCGGCCACAUUGGGACUGAGACACGGCCCAAACUCCUACGGGAGGCAGCAGUGGGGAAUAUUGCACAAUGGGGGAAACCCUGAUGCAGCGACGCCGCGUGAGUGAAGAAGUAUUUCGGUAUGUAAAGCUCUAUCAGCAGGGAAGAAAAUGACAGUACCUGAGUAAGAAGCCCCGGCUAACUACGUG